rnacentral:rRNA from 1 species
GUGCCAGCAGCCGCGGUAAUUCCAGCUCCAAUAGCGUAUAUUAAAGUUGUUGUGGUUAAAAAGCUCGUAGUUGAACCUUGGGCCUGGCUGGCCGGUCCGCCUCACCGCGUGCACUGGUCCGGCCGGGCCUUUCCCUCUGUGGAACCCCAUACCCUUCACUGGGCGUGGCGGGGAAACAGGACAUUUACUUUGAAAAAAUUAGAGUGCUCCAGGCAGGCCUAUGCUCGAAUACAUUAGCAUGGAAUAAUAAAAUAGGACGCGCGGUUCUAUUUUGUUGGUUUAUAGGACCGCCGUAAUGAUUAAUAGGGACAGUCGGGGGCAUCAGUAUUCAACUGUCAGAGGUGAAAUUCUUGGAUCAGUUGAAGACUAACUACUGCGAAAGCAUUUGCCAAGGAUGUUUUCAUUAAUCAGGAACGAAAGUUAGGGGAUCGAAGACGAUCAGAUACCGUCGUAGUCUUAACCAUAAACUAUGCCGACUAGGGAUCGGACGGUGUUAUUCAUGACCCGUUCGGCACCUUACGAGAAAUCAAAGUGCUUGGGCUCCAGGGGGAGUAUGGUCGCAAGGCUGAAACUUAAAGAAAUUGACGGAAGGGCACCACCAGGGGUGGAGCCUGCGGCUUAAUUUGACUCAACACGGGGAAACUCACCAGGUCCAGACACAAUAAGGAUUGACAGAUUGAGAGCUCUUUCUUGAUUUUGUGGUGGUGGUGCAUGGCCGUUCUUAGUUGUGGGGUGACUUGUCUGCUUAAUUGCGAUAACGAACGAGACUUUAACCUGCUAAAUAAGCCGCAUUGCUCCGGCAGUGC